rnacentral:rRNA from 1 species
GGACGGGUGAGUAAUGCCUAGGAAUCUGCCUGGUAGUGGGGGACAACGUUUCGAAAGGAACGCUAAUACCGCAUACGUCCUACGGGAGAAAGCAGGGGACCUUCGGGCCUUGCGCUAUCAGAUGAGCCUAGGUCGGAUUAGCUAGUUGGUGAGGUAAUGGCUCACCAAGGCGACGAUCCGUAACUGGUCUGAGAGGAUGAUCAGUCACACUGGAACUGAGACACGGUCCAGACUCCUACGGGAGGCAGCAGUGGGGAAUAUUGGACAAUGGGCGAAAGCCUGAUCCAGCCAUGCCGCGUGUGUGAAGAAGGUCUUCGGAUUGUAAAGCACUUUAAGUUGGGAGGAAGGGCAGUAAGCGAAUACCUUGCUGUUUUGACGUUUACCGACAGAAUAAGCACCGGCUAACU